rnacentral:rRNA from 1 species
GACGAACGCUGGCGGCGUGCCUAAUACAUGCAAGUCGAACGAGAGCGACCGGUGCUUGCACUGGUCAAUCUAGUGGCGAACGGGUGAGUAACACGUGGGUAACCUGCCCAUCAGAGGGGGAUAACAUCCGGAAACGGAUGCUAAAACCGCCUAGGUCUUCGAGCCGCAUGGCUUGAAGAGGAAAAGAGGCGCGGGCUUCUGCUGAUGGAUGGCCCCGCGGUGCAUUAGCUAGUUGGUGAGGUAACGGCUCACCAAGGCGGUGAUGCAUAGCCGACCUGAGAGGGUGAUCGGCAACAUGGGGACUGAGACACGGCCCAAACUCCUGCGGGAGGCAGCAGUAGGGAAUCUUCCGCAAUGGACGCAAGUCUGACGGAGCAACGCCGCGUGAGUGAAGAAGGUUUUCGGAUCGUAAAACUCUGUUGUUAGAGAAGAACAAGUGCUAGAGUAACUGUUAGCGACUUGACGGUACCUAACCAGAAAGCCACGGCUAACUACGUG